GGUGCGCCGGGGCCCCGAGACUUAUGGGUGGGGUCGGGCACCGCUGCGGGCGGAGCUGGGGGCUGCGGGCUGGGGCCGCUCCGAGGGCAAGAGGGCAGGCGCUGUCCUUGCCAGCCGGCCAGACCUGCCACCCCGGGGUAGCCGGCUCCUGCGGCCCCGACACUCUGCCUGUUAGCAAGGUGGCUCUGCAGACCCGGGGCCUCCCGGGGUGCUGGAGGCCCUGUGGAUGGGUGAGGGUCUCCCUGGGUGCUGGAGGCCCUGUGGAUGGGUGAGGGUCUCCCUGGGUGCUGGGGGGUAUGUGGAUGGGUGAGGGUCUCCCUGGGGUGCUGGAGGCCCUGUGGAUGGGUGAGGGUCUCCCUGGGGUGCUGGAGGCCCUGUGGAUGGGUGGGGGUCUCCCUGGGGUGCUGGAGGCCCUGUGGAUGGGUGGGG